rnacentral:rRNA from 1 species
UACGUAGGGUGCGAGCGUUGUCCGGAAUUAUUGGGCGUAAAGAGCUUGUAGGUGGUUUGUCGCGUCUGCUGUGAAAUCCCUCGGCUUAACCGGGGAACUGCGUCUGAUACUGGAUGGCUUGAGGUUGGGAGAGGGAUGCGGAAUUCCAGGUGUAGCGGUGAAAUGCGCAGAUAUCAGGAGGAACACCGGUGGCGAAGGCGGGUCUCUGGGCAGUAACUGACGCUGAGGAGCGAAAGCGUGGGGAGCGAACAGG